rnacentral:lncRNA from 1 species
UGAACGGCUUAAUGCAACAAAUGGCCUGCCCGUGAGCCACACCUGCUUUCUGAGCUCCGCAGGGGAGAUGGUUUCUUUUUUCUUGCUUUUCUUCUGUGGCCCCUCGAGGGCCUUGGGAUGGUUUUCCUCCUUCAGUUUGGACGGCAAGACUCCCUCUUUCAAAUUAUUUUAAAAAAAAUUUUCUACACAUUUCUCCAGUUCUUUGGGGAGCAUAUGGUUUCCAGAUAAUCUGGUGCCAGACAGCCUUCAGCAGGAAAACAUUUUGUGCUAACUGUUCUAUUUUGGUUUUGAGUCCUCUUCCUCUCCCCCCAGCAGACAUAAAUCGUAUGUAAAUCUCUGCCAGGAGGACAACCUCAUGAAACAGAAGCAGAAAGACAGCUGAGCAGCGGCUGGAAUGGGGUGUGCAUGGUGGACAGAGGAGCAAGAUUCAGAUGCCUCAGGAUGUGCCCUGCCCCUCCGAUGUCACAGGGGCCACCAGGCCAGGGAGAUUUGUGCCAACAGGAAGACUGGUCACCCCACGUCUCAGAAGGAAAAACGUAGAAGUCAAAGCCAUCCAGCUAUUCACCCCAGAGAGCACCGUUGGUUGUAGGCUACGCUGGCUCCAGCUCCUACUCUCCACGGCACACGGGGUAUCUGAGCCCAAACCUAUGACCGAUGCUCUGGGCUGGAGCUGAAUUAAGCUCCUGGCCAUCCUGCUACCCUUAGUGGAUGGAUAGCAUGUUCUUGGGGCCUCUCGUGGAACGAAUGCCUACAUGGGGGUCUAAACGAUAACCCACACAGGGAGGAAAUGGGGAGCUGGCAACAGCAGCAGAGCAUCAGUUAGAUGCCUGGAGCAUGUGGGGCCUCCCUGGGGGAGGGGGUGAAGCGACCUCUAUUCUCUCCUGGAAAGGCCUGGCCACCACGUAAAACCAAAGCCUCGGACAACACGUGCUGCUGAGACAAAAAUCGGGUUCACUGAGGACGAAGGAGGUCCUGGGGCUCCCCCUUUCCCCCAGCCUCUCAUGAGGCCCAUCUUCGGCCCCUUCCAUCUUAAGCCCCUUCCAUCUUAAGCCUGUUUAUUGAAUUUUGCUAUAACAACAGCAAAAGCCACCCUUCACCCUUAAAUAGAAAGUGAUUUCUCAGCAGCCUCAGGCUGAGUUCUUUUCUCCAACACAUCCUUAAUAAAACGUGUGCUGCAGCCA